AGCGGCCUUAUUUUCAACUUGCUGGUCCUACAGUGCGUUAACGACAGAUUGAAGAAAUACAACAAAAUAUGAUUUAUUUUUGUGCCAAAAUUAUGUUAGCCUGAACAAGCUUUAAGCAUUAAAGAAAGAUUGAGCAACAUGUACAAUAUAAUACGGUGCUAAAUUUUCUUUGAGUUCGACAGCCAGCAACCGAUGUAAAGUUUUGGAUGAUUUUCAACUAGCGUUAUUUUAUUAACGUUUAAUAUUUCAAAAGACAUGAUUACUAGAUACGAAUCACUCAUUUCAAUGCUCCCCCUCCCCCCUAAAAAAACUAAAAAAAAGUAAGAGGCGUAAGAUGUCAAAGGAACAUUUGGGAACGAUGGAAGACACUUUGAUAAUUUCUGUCGUCACAUGUGAAAUAAAUAACGAUUUCAAAUAGCACUUCAAACAUAAUUUACGUCCAGUGGCAAGUUUAAUGCAUAUUCAGAACUAGAACAUAUUAAUUUUGACCCUGC
rnacentral:lncRNA from 1 species